rnacentral:RNase_P_RNA from 1 species
CGAGAAGAGGGAAUCAUCGCUGGUAUUCUAGCAAUAGAAUACGGGAGGAAAGUCCGGACACCACAUGGUAACGUAGCGGGUAACGCCCGUCCAUCGCGAGGUGAGGACAAGUGCAACAGAAAGUAUGUACAGGUAAUGCUGUAGUGAAAACAGGUAAACUCUACGUGGUGCAAGCUCAAAUAGGCAAAGUUGUUUUCUUAGCAAUAGGAAAACUAGGAAGGACCACUUCCGAAGGUUGCGGGUAGAGUGCUCGAGGGUGAGGGUAACUUCACUCCUAGAUGAAUGAUGGUUGAAAACAGGAUCCGGCUUAUCCCUUCUCUCGGUUU